GUCGCCGUCACUUGCGCGUUUGGCAUUAUCCAUUGUCACCGCGGAGGAACGAGCGCUCGAGAUAUCAUCAGUGCCCGCAAAUCUCCGCGCCAAGGCGCUGCGCUACUCCCUUCCGAGGUGCGCCUCUGGUACUCCGUCCCGGGUGCCCAGCAGCGGCGACGCGGCAUCUCCGCUCCCGCCGCCGUGUCCACCGAUCCCUGGGAUCAGGGUGGCAGUUCUCAACGAUGGGCAGGAGGGACCUCGGCGGCGACCCUUAAAACAAUACCAUGCCCCGGGAUCCCCGCUGCUGCCGCGCCAGCGUCUUCCCUUUCCACCUCCCUGACCCUGUCGGAUUCGGAUGAGCCCAUUGCAAGGAGAAGACGCAGCCGUCAGAGCGCCUGCGGAGGUGGCGAAGGCUCGGGGAGCACAGGAGGUGGAAUCGGGAUCGAACAGGUAAGACACGGAGACCUUUGGGUUGAUGGCAAGAUUUGGAGGGCUGAUUGUGGCACCUUUGAUGUGAGGAGGUAUUCCUGCAAUCCUUCCGAGACACCUAAGCUGCUUUUCAGAAGCUAUCUCCUGAGCAGUUUGUAAUUCUCUCCUGGCUGUUUGAUGGUAAUGGGAGCUGUACAUGUAUCUGGAGAGAGGAGAACCAGCCUGGGACUCAAGAUAUAUUAAAGACUAUGCCCAUGGGCAUCAAUUCUUUCCUGUCCUUUAGGGCAGUAUUCAGGCCACACAGUUCAAUAACAGGAAAGAAUGUCAUCACAUGAUUGCAUCAUGUUCUUCAAAAUGAAAUCUAUUAGACAGUAUAAACAACAAAGAACAUCAUUUGUCAGAAUGACCCGGGGGAAAUAGUCCAGUGAAACUAAGCAAAGGGAACUUUAUACCGUGAGGGAAAAUCAAUGGAUUGUAACAGAACCCUGCAAGAAGAGACAUAGCUUUCAAGUUCCAGAGACCUAGAGGUGACUGAGAAGCAGGAUGUACCAGAAACUGGGCUUCUUGUUCUACUUAUCUAGCACCCUUUCCACAGUGUUGUAUAUGUAAAUAAAUAAUAAAGCAGUGUGAUUUUUAA
rnacentral:sRNA from 1 species